rnacentral:rRNA from 1 species
CCUACGGGGGGCAGCAGUAGGGAAUUUUCGUCAAUGGGCGCAAGCCUGAACGAGCGAUGCCGCGUUAGUGAAGAAGGCCUUCGGGUCGUAAAGCUCUGUUGCGGGGGAAAAAAGGCAGCAUCAGGAAAUGGGUGCUGACUGAUGGUGCCCCGCCAGAAAGUCACGGCUAACUACGUUCCAGCAGCCGCGGUAAUACGUAGGUUGCGAUCGUUAUCCUGAAUUGUUGGGCGUAAAGGGUGCGCAGGCGGUCCUACAAGUCUGGAGUGAAACGAAUUAGCUCAACUCAUGCAUGGCUUUGGAAACUGGAGGACUGGAGAGCAGGAGAGGGCGGUGGAACUCAAGGUGUAGCGGUAAAAUGCGUAGAUAUAUGGAAGAAAACCAGUGGCGAAGGCGGCCGCCUGGCCUGUUGCUGACGCUGAGGCACGAAAGCGUGGGGAGUAAAUAGGAUUAGAUACCCUUGUAGUC